rnacentral:lncRNA from 1 species
ACAUUUGGAUCUUGAUCUAUAAUCAUCCCUACCCCGCCUACGACGUCGGGGUGGUGGUGCCUGGGAAGGAGAGGAACAUAGAGCGAGGUGCUUGAUCUGGCUAAGCGAGGAGGUCGGCGGCGGGGAAGGUGCUUGAUCUGACCAGCAAGGAGCGUAUGGAAUUCAAACGAAGCCCUCCAAAACGAUAGCACUAUUCCAAAUUUCUGGAAGGAAUAGGUGAUGGCCGAGUGGGAGCUCGAGGUCAAAGAGCUCAACGCCUCCGUGCAAAGCCGAGAGACCCUACUCCAGCUCGAUCAGACCGCUCCUGCGCGCCCGGCUUGAGUGGGAGGACAACUUGAGGGCUUGUUCGGUUUGAGGUGGUUUGAGGAAAAUUGGAGGGUAUUUAAUCUCCUCAGCAUGGUGAGCUAAUCUAUUGUCGGCAUGGAUGUAGUCACUCCACUUCAGAAAAGAGUCAGUUGCAUGGCUCCUGGCGAACAUUGGACAUGUUUAUUUUGUUACCUUUGCUGUUACAAAUUUGGCACUCAUUUAUUUUGAGCGUUGCGUGGUCAAAGAAAGAAGGUUGUUUAUUUGAGUGGCAUGAAUAAAAAAGUCUUAUUAA